GAGCCGGAGCUCCUCCUGGCAGGGGACAGAGCCCGAGCCUCAGCCGGACGGGACCCCCGCGCCCCAGGAGCCCCCACCCACUCGCUCCAAGGAGAGCUAAGGGGCGCUGGAGCCUUCUAGCCCCUACGGGUGUGCAUUUCAAUCAGGCAUCUUGGUGAUGAUGCAGCACCCUGGGGAGCCCACCUGUAUUCUCUUGGCCAGGUGCCUGGAGUGCAACACAACAUGUGAGAGUGAGAAUCUUCCCAGACCGCCUGCUAUGGACUGAAUUGUCUCUCUAACCCCCAGUGUGGUGGUAUUUGGAGAAAGGCCAUGUGAGGACACAUUGAGAAGGCACUUGUCUGCAAGCUAGGAAGACAGCCCUCACCAGAAACCAACCCUGAUGGCACCAUGAUCUUGGACUUCCUGCCUUCUAGCAAAUAUAUUUCUCUUGAAGCCGCCCA